rnacentral:rRNA from 1 species
GACGAACGCUGGCGGCGUGCCUAAUACAUGCAAGUAGAACGCUGAAGGAGGAGCUUGCUUCUCUGGAUGAGUUGCGAACGGGUGAGUAACGCGUAGGUAACCUGCCUGGUAGCGGGGGAUAACUAUUGGAAACGAUAGCUAAUACCGCAUAAGAGUAGAUGUUGCAUGACAUUUGCUUAAAAGGUGCAAUUGCAUCACUACCAGAUGGACCUGCGUUGUAUUAGCUAGUUGGUGGGGUAACGGCUCACCAAGGCGACGAUACAUAGCCGACCUGAGAGGGUGAUCGGCCACACUGGGACUGAGACACGGCCCAGACUCCUACGGGAGGCAGCAGUAGGGAAUCUUCGGCAAUGGACGGAAGUCUGACCGAGCAACGCCGCGUGAGUGAAGAAGGUUUUCGGAUCGUAAAGCUCUGUUGUAAGAGAAGAACGGGUGUGAGAGUGGAAAGUUCACACUG